rnacentral:lncRNA from 1 species
UGAAACUAACUCUCUAUGUUUGAGAAAAUAUUUUGAGUUUUAUUUUUGUUCGAGUUUUUGUUUUCAUUUGGGAAGAGAUCAGAAAAAUUCCCAAAAAAAGUAUAUAUAUAUUUCAGUCGCUUCUUUCUGUUGGAUUUUUUUAUUUCAAUAUCGAGUUCGACUGAGGUCCGAUGGGGCUUGAAGAUUUCUGCUGCCGUUUGUGGUUUUAGAUCGUGGUCCUGGAUUCAAUUGCCGCAGUUUCAUUCAGUCCCUACUAAGUUCAUCGUCC